UACAGAGGUCUCAAGCGUUGUUCGGAUUCAUUGGGCGUAAAGGGUGCGUAGGCGGCGGUGUAAGUCGGAUGUGAAAUCCCUCGGCUCAACUGAGGAAUUGCCUCCGAUACUGGUCGGCUUGAGUCCUGGAGAGGGUAGUGGAAUUCCGAGUGUAGCGGUGAAAUUCGUAGAUAUCGAGAGGAACACCGGUGGCGAAGGCGGCCAACUGGACAGAUACUGACGCUGAGACACGAAAGCGUGGGGAGCAAACAGG
rnacentral:rRNA from 1 species